rnacentral:rRNA from 1 species
GACGAACGCUGGCGGCGUGCUUAACACAUGCAAGUCGAGCGGAGCGGCGAACGGGUGAGUAACGCGUGAGUAACUGCCCCCCUCUCUGGGAUAACAGUUGGAAACGGCUGCUAAUACCGGAUAGUGGGGGAUGAAUCGCGUCCUAUCAGCUUGUUGGGGGGGUAGUGGCCUACCAAGGCGACGACGGGUAGCCUGCCUGAGAGGGGUACCUGCCACAUUGGGCUGGGGUACGGCCCAAUCUCCUACGGGGGGCAGCAGUGGGUAAUCUUGCACAAGGGGGGAAACCGUGAUGCAGCAACGCCGCGGGCGGGAUGACGGCCUUGGGGUUGUAAACCGCGUUCAGCCAUGACGCGGUAGUGGCAGAAGAAGCACCGGCUAACUACGUGCCAGCAGCCGCGGUAAUAC